CCUACGGGAGACAGCAGUGAGGAAUAUUGGUCAAUGGACGGAAGUCUGAACCAGCCAUGCCGCGUGCAGGAAGACGGCUCUAUGAGUUGUAAACUGCUUUUGUACAAGGGUAAACCUGAAUACGUGUAUUCAGCUGACAGUACUGUACGAAUAAGGAUCGGCUAACUCCAUGCCAGCAUCCGCGGUAAUACGGAGGAUCCAAGCGUUAUCCGGAUUGAUUGGGUUUAAAGGGUGCGUAGGCGGAGUGAUAAGUUCGAGGUGAAAUGUCCGAGCUUAACUCGGGAACUGCCUCUAAUACUGUUGAGCGAGAGAGUAGAUGCGGUAGGCGGAAUGUAUGGUGUAGCGGUGAAAUGCUUAGAGAUCAUACAGAACACCGAUUGAGAAGGCAGCUUACCAAUCUAUAUCUGACGUUGAGGCACGAAAGCGUGGGGAGCAAACAGGAUUAGAUACCCGAGUAGUC
rnacentral:rRNA from 1 species